UACGUAGGGUGCAAGCGUUAAUCGGAAUUACUGGGCGUAAAGCGUGCGCAGGCGGCUUUGCAAGACAGAUGUGAAAUCCCCGGGCUUAACCUGGGAACUGCAUUUGUGACUGCAUGGCUGGAGUGCGGCAGAGGGGGAUGGAAUUCCGCGUGUAGCAGUGAAAUGCGUAGAUAUGCGGAGGAACACCGAUGGCGAAGGCAAUCCCCUGGGCCUGCACUGACGCUCAUGCACGAAAGCGUGGGGAGCA
rnacentral:rRNA from 1 species